AUGUCCAAGGCGGCGCUGACACUGGAGGAGGUGUCCAAGCACAACACCAAGGACGACUGCUGGCUCAUCAUCGCCGGCAAGGUAUAUGAUGUGACCAAGUUUUUGGAGGAUCACCCUGGAGGUGAUGAUGUACUGUUGUCCUCGACUGCCAAGGACGCAACUGAUGACUUUGAGGAUGUCGGGCACAGCACCACCGCCCGUGCGAUGCUGGACGAGUACUAUGUCGGCGACGUGGAUACGGCUACGAUACCUGCCCGGACAAAGUACACUCCGCCGAAGCAACCACACUACAACCAAGACAAGACCCCUGAGUUCAUCAUCAAGAUCCUCCAGUUCCUGGUCCCCUUGGCCAUACUUGGUCUGGCUGUCGCCAUUAGGAUGUACACCAAGUCGGAAUCGGCUUAA
rnacentral:rRNA from 1 species